AGCGCAGUUCGACGUUGAAAAUUGCGGGCUGCCCCUUCAGCGGACCAAUGAUGCCACGCAAAGAAGCCACGCGACCGAGAAAAACCAGAGAAAGUGUUCAGUAAAAAAAAUAGAAAUUAUAUAGAAGUAAAAAAAAUAAAUGUAUAUUAACCGCGAAAAGUUAGCUAAUAAAUCGUGUGAAAGAAAAGUGAAAAUUGUGCUUUUAAUCCUUGGAAAUUACAGCGGAUACGUGAUAAAUUUUAACCAAAGCCAAUACACCAAGGCAGCCAAUUCAAUAGCCAGCGUUGUUGCGUCUGAUAAAAUGAACACAACAGUAAUGACAUUGAAAUGGCGCCAGAAAUACAAAAGCAGAAAAAGGCCAAAGAAACUGAAACAACGAAUAAUUGCAACAAACACUGCCCCAGCAACAGCAACAGCAACAAUACCAAAACAUAAAGCAACAAAAGCAACCAGCAGACUGAGAGAUACGAGGUGCAAACUGAGGCGGCCCAGAAAAUGGCUGCCAAAUGAACGACACAGAAAUGUGGCUAGAAUGCUGCUAAAAGUGACGACAAAUCCAACACAAUGUCGUGCAAUUAAAGCGACAGGAACACCAGCAACAUCCACAAUGACUUCCAGCUGCAGCAGCCAUUGUGAGUCGCAACAGCAGCAGCAACAGCAGUUGCUGCAACCGAAACAGCGGCAACACCAGCAGUUGCAACAUCAACAGCGGCGACAUCCUCUUCCGGCAACGCUGACGCUGCUCCUCUGCCUGGGAAUCGGUUUGGGUCUGGCUGCCACAGCAGCUGCCGCCGGAGGAGGUGGCGGUGGAGGAGGAGGAGGAGCUGCUCCCGGUUCCGGAUCCGGAACAGCUGGCUCUGGCUCCCCAACCAGCUACGGCUCCAGCUCCAGCAGCUCCCUGGGACCCGGCAAACCGGCCAAUUUACAACUGGCACCCGGCUCCUCCGCCUCCACGGGCUGCUCCCUCGCCGAGUUCAGCUGCUCCAACGGAAGGUGCGUGCCGCUCAGCAAGUACUGCAACAAUCUGAACGACUGCGGCGACGGCAGCGAUGAGCCGCGAUUCUGCACACGCUGUAAUCGCACCUACUACGGGGACAUCGGACAGACCUACGCCCUGGAGCUGCACCGCCCCAAGCAGGAUCGCGUGCCCUUUGUGUGUGUGCUCACCUUCACGGCGGCAGGUGGCCAGCACGGCGAUGUGGUGCAGGUCACCCUGGACAGUUUCACGAUUGGCAGGUUCACCUCGUACGUUCAUGAGGGUUGUCCGGAUGGAUAUAUGCAGAUAGCGGAGUCGGCUCGAACUCCCAUUGGGGGAAUGUGGUGCGGCAGCUCCUGGGGACCAGUGCUCUUCUACAGCGAAACCCGCUCCCUGAUAUUCACCAUCCGGCUGAACAGACUGGCGAGGGAUCAGAGUGGCUACAACUUCGACUUUCGCAUCAGAUACAAGGUGUUGUCCAGGGACAGUUCGGUGACCCGCUACGGGGGCAUUAAGCUGGCAGAGCUGGCCCAGUGGCACAACCGCAGCAGCUUCCUCAAUCAGCAGCAGCAACAGCAGCAGCAGCAGCAACAACAAGGCGCCGGUAUCCUGGAGGACUUCACCAACUCCAGUGUGGCCCGCUCGGAUCGUUAUGGCCAGGACUUUAGUCUCUUCAGCGCUUAUGCCAACAACAAGACCUUCAUGGCCGCGCUGGAAAAGUCACUGGCCAAGGACGAGCAGAACUACACGGAGCCCAAAUACUACCUGGGCGACCUUAUCCCCGGAACGUAUUGCUCCCGGAUCUUCAGCGACUGCGACAAGAAGCCGUGUCGCCUGCAGUCUCCAAACUUCCCCGGGAUCUAUCCGCGCAACCUCACCUGCUACUACGCAGUGCGACAGCACGACGUGCCCCAUGGCAAACACGCCCUGAUUCUAGUCAAACAGCCCAAGGGCAAUCUGGUUUGGAUCUCCACCCAGGAAACGGCCAUGGCGAACAAAAUGGCCCCUCCGCCGAGUGCCAGCGACAAGGAUAAGAAAUUCGAGCCGAGGCUGAAAACAUGGAAUGACUGCGAUUACAUUCAGGAAAAUGUAAAGCCCAAAUGGAAAUCCACGGACUACGUGACUGUAUACGAUGGUUACACCAUACGUGACCCCAUCAUAUUGAAGUUCUGCGGCGGAGGUCAGGCGGUGCCGGCGGCCGUUUCCAGCGGCCCGGAGCUUUUGGUUGAGUUCAGCACGUCGCCGUUUGGCACCUUUACCGGCACCUCGUCGCAGGUCCUGCCGCUCUACGGAUUCCAGCUGGAGGUCGAAGUUCAGUUCGUGGACAUCCAGAGUCCCACGUACUCGAAGAACAAGAAGCCCUGCGAGUUCUGGAUCCGCGGAGCAGGUCGCGGCAUCCUGGAGAGUCCCAAGCACUCGCUGUCUCCGAACUCCACGUGCCUGUACCACCUGCAAGGAUUGGGUGUCUUCAAGACCUUUGACCACCUGAGUUUGUCGCGCCGUACGAGCAGUCAGUCGGGAAUGCAUCAGCCACUCUCCAGGUUCAAGGUGUGGAUUUCCGUGCUGAAGUUCAACCUGGACCCGGAGUUUGGCCAAAUGGAUGAGACUUCGGUGGGGGCCAUUGGAGUGCUGCAGACGCAGGAGGAUUGCAGUGGAAUGCUGCGCAUCUGGGAUGGAACUCUGAGGGAUGCACCCGUUUGCAAGGACUUGAACUGUGCCAGCGAGACGAGUAGCUAUAAUACCCUGGGCCACUAUGCCCACAACGCCACCAAUGUGAUAGCCAGAUUUUGUCGGGGCACUAUACCACGCACCUGUGAUCGGUCCAAUAUUAAUGAGACCUACGCCAGACCCUGUACGAUCUCCGAGAGCUAUGUUUCUAGCAGCGAUGCCAUCACGCUUGAGUUGCGCAACACAGAAUCCACAGUGUUAAGACCCCUGGAUUUCAAGCUGAAGUACGAAUUCAUUGACCUGCAUCAGGAUGGCUUGCCCUGGGGUGGUGGGGAGCACGAUUGCAACCGAAAGUUUCUCAGCAACUUGAUGGAUCGCAAGGAUCCAGCCAUAUUCCGCAGUGUGCGUAAUAUCUUUCUAUUCGGAAGAGGAGGCACUAGGAACCUCAAGUGCAUCUACAAAUUCGAGGCUCAGCGAGGGGAGAGGGUCAGGAUCAAGAUGAGGAAAGUGACAACCACCAAUAGAGCUUGCUAUUCUAAAGUGGAUGAGGAUAUCAACAGAUCCUUUUGCUAUGGGGAUACCAAUGUUAGAAUUGAGAUCUUUGAGCGACCCUAUCACGAUUCCAUUCUUCUCCAUCGAGGCUGCAUGUGCAACUCCUCCAACCAAUCCCACCUGCCUGUGGAGUACACUUCCACAAGUCGCGAUGUAGAGGUGCACUUCAUUGCCCAGAACAUGACCACCUUGGACGAUCCGGAUACGGUUAAUUUUGAGGGUAUGUUUGAGUUCGUCAAGGCUCCAACUAGUUGUAAGGAUGGUCGCCGGAAAUUCGGACCCAGUGGCACCAUAGACAUGACCUUUGGAGAUGUGGAGUGCCGCUCUAGACCUUGGUUGAUUGAACCUUCAAAUGGCAAUAAGUUCUUGUACGUCCGACUGAAGGCCAUAUUCCUGAGCAAACACAAUCCCACAAAGACUUUGAACACAACCUAUGUUCAAACUGAUACCUGGAGAUGUGAGACUAAGUCGAGGGCUGUGCUGACCACUUCAGAGGGUCUAACCAUUGUGGCCUGUCCCCUGAGUCCCGACUCGAGUGCCUACGAAUUUGUGGAGAUCUUCAGUUCCGGUUGGAAUGAGAGGCCCAAUUUUGCCAUAGUUAAUCGAUCCCGAGCCAUCAGUGUGGAGUUCCUGCGACCUGGCAAUGGAGAGUACUCCUUCAACUGGAUGGAACUGAUUCCCAGGCCCACGCUCAGCAUGGCUGAGGACUGUCAGUUUAAGUGCGCCGAGCUGGGGGCCUGUGUGAAUGCCAGUGUCUGGUGCGAUGGCGUAGUCCAUUGCCCAUCCGGCGAUGAUGAAACCUUCCUGCAGUGCUCGGCAUUGAUGAAACUGCCCGCCGAGAUCCUGGCCACCCUCUGCCUCAUCUUUGUGCUCUCGUGUUGUGCUUUCGCUGCCUUUGCUUACAAAAAAAUCAAACGCAAGCUGCGCGGCUCCUCGGUGCUGCAGACGCGACUCAAAUCGCUCAGCUCGAUGGACACGGCCGUUCUGGAUGAAAAGGAGGUGAUUUGCUGACAAAGCGACAAUUCUGUGCGUUACGUGGAGAUCGACCGUGUGACCACGGUCUGAUGCUCGACGGCCAGUAACGUGCAGAAUUGUGCCCCGGAACAGAAUCAGAAUCAGAUACAGAUACUGACACCAGAAUCGCCACCACAAGCCAACCAAGAAAGACAGAAACCACAAUUACAACUGACGCGAAUGCGAAACGCAACAAUGAAACGAUCAAAAGAAAAGGCAACACUUUUUCGAAAUCAAAAACCAAAAACCAGAAUCAAAAUCGUUCACCUGUUUUUUAAACUGCAUUUAUAUGAGAGCGAAUCGCAGGUUUUUGUUGAUUCUAUUUGUAUUAUCCUCUAUUUUAUAGAUCGCAAGACUCGUGUUCUCCGUUUUUUUUUUUAACUUAGUGUGUCGCGCAAUUUUAUAAGCAAUUUUCUAGGCCUAGGGUUUUUCGUAUGUAUUUUCGAUAUGAUUUCCCAAACUCGACCCGCAAAACACAAGAACACACACUGUACAUACUAACGAUUGCGAAACACGGAAGGACGAGGACCAGAAAUCGGACAGAUCUGACCAUUUAAAACUCCCACUAGGUUCGUGUCUUUGGUUCUUACAGAGUACUCGUAGACCUAUGUAGAUACAACUGUUUCCUAAUAGCCUUUAAGUGUAUCGUACUAUGCUAAUCAAAACCGACUAAAUGGAGAGGAAGAUGAUGAAAGCGAGUUCAGAAGGGUUAGUUUUUUUGGGGAAUGUUUCAGAAACUCCCACAGCAUUUAUUAUGCGGCGCACAAAAAAAAAGAAAACAGAAAGAAGAGAUUAAUCAAACCAAAUGAAAUAAAUAGUAAAAAUCCAAAGGAGUAAGCGAGUGGAAGGGCGACGAUUAAUCGACAAUUCCGAGAGUAGAUCAAAAAACCCGUCGUUGAGACCAAGAUCUAAGGCUCGGGGAUCAAAGCAAAGCAAAAUGCCCGGCCUGGCCAAAACGGAGGGAGCAGGGAUCAGGGACUCCGAAAAGACAACACAGCAGAGUGUGUGAAUCAGUCGAAAUUAUAUUUUUGUUUAUGCUCUUCUUCCUUUUAAGAACUGUAAAUAAAACAAACAGAAGCUGUAUGAUAUUAACAAUUUUA